GGUUAAGCGACUAAGCGUACACGGUGGAUGCCCUGGCAGUCAGAGGCGAUGAAGGACGUGCUAAUCUGCGAAAAGCGCCGGCGAGGUGAUAUGAACCCUUGACCCGGCGAUGUCCGAAUGGGGAAACCCAGUGCAAUCCGUUGCACUAUCGUUAACUGAAUACAUAGGUUAACGAGGCGAACCGGGGGAACUGAAACAUCUAAGUACCCCGAGGAAAAGAAAUCAACCGAGAUUCCCCCAGUAGCGGCGAGCGAACGGGGAGCAGCCCGGAGUCUGAAUCAGCUUGUGUGUUAGUGGAACGGUCUGGAAAGUCCGACGGUACAGGGUGAUAGUCCCGUACACGAAAGCACACUUGCUGUGAACUCGAAGAGUAGGGCGGGACACGUGGUAUCCUGUCUGAAUAUGGGGGGACCAUCCUCCAAGGCUAAAUACUCCUGACUGACCGAUAGUGAACCAGUACCGUGAGGGAAAGGCGAAAAGAACCCCGGCGAGGGGAGUGAAAAAGAACCUGAAACCGUGUACGUACAAGCAGUGGGAGCCUCUUUAUGGGGUGACUGCGUACCUUUUGUAUAAUGGGUCAGCGACUUAUAUUCUGUAGCAAGGUUAACCGUAUAGGGGAGCCGAAGGGAAACCGAGUCUUAACUGGGCGUUAAGUUGCAGGGUAUAGACCCGAAACCCGGUGAUCUAGCCAUGGGCAGGUUGAAGGUUGGGUAACACUAACUGGAGGACCGAACCGACUAAUGUUGAAAAAUUAGCGGAUGACCUGUGGCUGGGGGUGAAAGGCCAAUCAAACCGGGAGAUAGCUGGUUCUCCCCGAAAGCUAUUUAGGUAGCGCCUCGUGAACUCAUCUUCGGGGGUAGAGCACUGUUUCGGCUAGGGGGCCAUCCCGGCUUACCAACCCGAUGCAAACUACGAAUACCGAAGAAUGUUAUCACGGGAGACACACGGCGGGUGCUAACGUCCGUCGUGAAGAGGGAAACAACCCAGACCGCCAGCUAAGGUCCCAAAGUCAUGGUUAAGUGGGAAACGAUGUGGGAAGGCACAGACAGCCAGGAUGUUGGCUUAGAAGCAGCCAUCAUUUAAAGAAAGCGUAAUAGCUCACUGGUCGAGUCGGCCUGCGCGGAAGAUGUAACGGGGCUAAACCAUGCACCGAAGCUGCGGCAGCGACACUAUGUGUUGUUGGGUAGGGGAGCGUUCUGUAAGCCGUUGAAGGUGUGCUGUGAGGCAUGCUGGAGGUAUCAGAAGUGCGAAUGCUGACAUAAGUAACGAUAAAGCGGGUGAAAAGCCCGCUCGCCGGAAGACCAAGGGUUCCUGUCCAACGUUAAUCGGGGCAGGGUGAGUCGACCCCUAAGGCGAGGCCGAAAGGCGUAGUCGAUGGGAAACAGGUUAAUAUUCCUGUACUUGGUGUUACUGCGAAGGGGGGACGGAGAAGGCUAUGUCAGCCGGGCGACGGUUGUCCCGGUUUAAGCAUGUAGGCGGAGGUUCCAGGUAAAUCCGGUACCUUUUAACGCUGAGGUGUGAUGACGAGGCACUACGGUGCUGAAGUGAUAAAUGCCCUGCUUCCAGGAAAAGCCUCUAAGCAUCAGGUAACACGAAAUCGUACCCCAAACCGACACAGGUGGUCAGGUAGAGAAUACCAAGGCGCUUGAGAGAACUCGGGUGAAGGAACUAGGCAAAAUGGUGCCGUAACUUCGGGAGAAGGCACGCUGAUGUGUAGGUGAAGCCCCUGCGGGCGGAGCUGAAAUCAGUCGAAGAUACCAGCUGGCUGCAACUGUUUAUUAAAAACACAGCACUGUGCAAACACGAAAGUGGACGUAUACGGUGUGACGCCUGCCCGGUGCCGGAAGGUUAAUUGAUGGGGUUAGCGGCAACGCGAAGCUCUUGAUCGAAGCCCCGGUAAACGGCGGCCGUAACUAUAACGGUCCUAAGGUAGCGAAAUUCCUUGUCGGGUAAGUUCCGACCUGCACGAAUGGCGUAAUGAUGGCCAGGCUGUCUCCACCCGAGACUCAGUGAAAUUGAACUCGCUGUGAAGAUGCAGUGUACCCGCGGCAAGACGGAAAGACCCCGUGAACCUUUACUAUAGCUUGACACUGAACACUGGUCCUUGAUGUGUAGGAUAGGUGGGAGGCUUUGAAGCGUGGACGCCAGUCUGCGUGGAGCCAACCUUGAAAUACCACCCUUUAAUGGCUGGUGUUCUAACGUAGACCCGUAAUCCGGGUUGCGGACAGUGUCUGGUGGGUAGUUUGACUGGGGCGGUCUCCUCCCAAAGAGUAACGGAGGAGCACGAAGGUUGGCUAAUCCUGGUUGGACAUCAGGAGGUUAGUGCAAUGGCAUAAGCCAGCUUGACUGCGAGCGUGACGGCGCGAGCAGGUGCGAAAGCAGGUCAUAGUGAUCCGGUGGUUCUGAAUGGAAGGGCCAUCGCUCAACGGAUAAAAGGUACUCCGGGGAUAACAGGCUGAUACCGCCCAAGAGUUCAUAUCGACGGCGGUGUUUGGCACCUCGAUGUCGGCUCAUCACAUCCUGGGGCUGAAGUAGGUCCCAAGGGUAUGGCUGUUCGCCAUUUAAAGUGGUACGCGAGCUGGGUUUAGAACGUCGUGAGACAGUUCGGUCCCUAUCUGCCGUGGGCGCUGGAGAAUUGAGGGGGGCUGCUCCUAGUACGAGAGGACCGGAGUGGACGCAUCACUGGUGUUCGGGUUGUCAUGCCAAUGGCACUGCCCGGUAGCUAAAUGCGGAAGAGAUAAGUGCUGAAAGCAUCUAAGCACGAAACUUGCCCCGAGAUGAGUUCUCCCUGAGACUUUAAGUCUCCUGAAGGAACGUUGAAGACGACGACGUUGAUAGGUCGGGUGUGUAAGCGCAGCGAUGCGUUGAGCUAACCGAUACUAAUGAACCGUGAGGCUUAACCUU
rnacentral:rRNA from 1 species